CAUGAUGAUUAAAAAAAUUUCUUCACUUUGACCUGAAUGUCAUUGAUGAAAAUUUAUAAUCUGAUG
rnacentral:snoRNA from 1 species